GUCACUGUUUUGAAUGUGGCCUUUUCACACCUGAAAGUCUGAACCAAGGUCUGGACCAAGGUUCAUGUUUUUGUUAGAUAGUAUACAUGUGAUGCGGUUCGUUUGGUUUCACACUGCAGUUAUGCAAGCUCACUGAAGAACUCUACAUGACAUUCCUACGUCCUGUUGUCAUCACACAGGUGAGCUGAGU